AAUUCCAGUAGGUGCGCGCGCAUUGCAGUCGACGCCGAACCGCCUUCGGGUGGGGAGGAGUGGCGAACGGGUGAGUAACACGUGGGCAAUCUGCCCUGCACUCUGGGAUAACUCCGGGAAACCGGAGCUAAUACCGGAUACGACUCUCCAGGGCAUCCUGGGGGGUGGAAAGCUCCGGCGGUGCAGGAUGAGCCCGCGGCCUAUCAGCUGGUUGGUGGGGUGAUGGCCUACCAAGGCGACGACGGGUAGCCGGCCUGAGAGGGCGACCGGCCACACUGGGACUGAGACACGGCCCAGACUCCUACGGGAGGCAGCAGUGGGGAAUAUUGCACAAUGGGCGCAAGCCUGAUGCAGCGACGCCGCGUGAGGGAUGACGGCCUUCGGGUUGUAAACCUCUUUCAGCAGGGAAGAAGCGUGAGUGACGGUACCUGCAGAAGAAGCACCGGCUACUACGUGCCAGCAGCCGCGGUAAUACGUAGGGUGCGAGCGUUGUCCGGAAUUAUUGGGCGUAAAGAGCUCGUAGGCGGCUUGUCGCGUCGGAUGUGAAAGCCCGGGGCUUAACCCCGGGUCUGCAUUCGAUACGGGCAGGCUAGAGUUCGGUAGGGGAGAUCGGAAUUCCUGGUGUAGCGGUGAAAUGCGCAGAUAUCAGGAGGAACACCGGUGGCGAAGGCGGAUCUCUGGGCCGAUACUGACGCUGAGGAGCGAAAGCGUGGGGAGCGAACAGGAUUAGAUACCCUGGUAGUCCACGCCGUAAACGUUGGGCACUAGGUGUGGGCGGCAUUCCACGUCGUCCGUGGCCGCAGCUAACGCAUUAAGGUGCCCCGCCUG
rnacentral:rRNA from 1 species